UACGUAGGGUGCGAGCGUUGUCCGGAAUUAUUGGGCGUAAAGAGCGUGUAGGCGGCCCGGUAAGUCCGCUGUAAAAGUCAAAGGCUCAACCUUUGAAUGUCAGUGGAUACUGCCGGGCUAGAGUCCGGAAGAGGCGAGUGGAACUCCUGGUGUAGCGGUGGAAUGCGCAGAUAUCAGGAAGAACACCAACGGCGAAGGCAGCUCGCUGGGACGGUACUGACGCUGAGACGCGAAAGCGUGGGGAGCGAACAGG
rnacentral:rRNA from 1 species